CGAGAGGCGGGGAGGUUCCCCAGCCCAGAUUGCAAGAGGGUGCAGGCCAGGCCAAGGGACCCCACCAGUGCACG
rnacentral:pre_miRNA from 1 species